rnacentral:rRNA from 1 species
AUUGAACGCUGGCGGCAGGCCUAACACAUGCAAGUCGAGCGAGCGGCGGACGGGUGAGUAAUGUAUGGGGACUGCCCGAUAGAGGGGGAUAACUACUGGAAACGGUAGCUAAUACCGCAUACUAUCGGAUAACCCAUAUGGGAUUAGCUAGUAGGUGAGGAAAUGGCUCACCUAGGCGACGAUCCCUAGCUGGUCUGAGAGGAGGAUCAGCCAAACGGGGACUGAGACCCGGCCCAGACGCCUACGGGGGCAGGAGGGGGGAAUAUUUCACAAUGGGCGAAAGCCUGAUGCAGCCAGGCCGGGUGUAUGAAGAAGGCCCGAGGGUUUUAAAGUACUUUCAGUCGGGAGGCGUUACCGACAGAAGAAGCACCGGCUACCUCCGUGCAAGCAGCCGCGGUAAUC